GACGGAGGAUGCAAGUGUUAUCCGGAAUCACUGGGCGUAAAGCGUCUGUAGGUGGUCAAAUAAGUCAACUGUUAAAUCUUGAGGCUCAACCUCAAAAUCGCAGUCGAAACUAUUCGACUAGAGUAUAGUAGGGGUAAAGGGAAUUUCCAGUGGAGCGGUGAAAUGCGUAGAGAUUGGAAAGAACACUGAUGGCGAAGGCACUUUACUGGGCUAUUACUAACACUGAGAGACGAAAGCUAGGGUAGCAAAUGGG
rnacentral:rRNA from 1 species